rnacentral:rRNA from 1 species
GACGAACGCUGGCGGCGUGCUUAACACAUGCAAGUCGAACGGAAAGGCCCUGCUUUUGUGGGGUGCUCGAGUGGCGAACGGGUGAGUAACACGUGAGUAACCUGCCCUUGACUUUGGGAUAACUUCAGGAAACUGGGGCUAAUACCGGAUAGGAGCUCCUGCUGCAUGGUGGGGGUUGGAAAGUUUCGGCGGUUGGGGAUGGACUCGCGGCUUAUCAGCUUGUUGGUGGGGUAGUGGCUUACCAAGGCUUUGACGGGUAGCCGGCCUGAGAGGGUGACCGGCCACAUUGGGAAUGAGAAACGGCCCAGACUCCUACGGGAGGCAGCAGUGGGGAAUAUUGCACAAUGGGCGGAAGCCUGAUGCAGCAACGCCGCGUGCGGGAUGACGGCCUUCGGGUUGUAAACCGCUUUCGCCUGUGACGAAGCGUGAGUGACGGUAAUGGGUAAAGAAGCACCGGCUAACUACGUG